AAGAGGGAACUCCGCAGAGAAGAAACUAGCAACGAGGCCCCAAAGGUGGAAGUGCAGCCUGAGAAACUUGAGCCAGCCCGGGACUGUGCCGGCCUUGCCACUCACUCUGCAGGGUGUGGCGUGCAGGACCCCUCCGGCUUCACAAGACUGAUAUGCCUCCUGUGACAGAGAAACGGAAGCCCAAGGAGGUGAAAUAACUUGCCCCGGGACGCACAAGCAGGAAACAGAGGAGCCAGGAUUCAAACCCCCUGUGUGGCCAUCCCUGGAGCCCAGACUCUGACCGCAGCAACUUCAGCUUUCAAGUGAAAAUCAAGAUGAUGAGGUGGGGCUGACUCCUCCCAUCCCUACCUUUAGGGGUGGGGACACGAGCAAGGCCUGGCCAACAAUCAUAUUCCACAUCUAGGCUAAAGUAAUCAGUUCAGAGAUAAACGCGUGUCAGCCAAGACAGUUCAAUGAGAGAAAGUCCUGGAACUUUUUAAUGUAACUACUGGGAAAGAGAAACUCUUCUAGCUCCUGAAGCUGCUAAGGCCGGAGUUGCUAACUGUGAAGAGAGACCCUGCCUGAGAUGGAAACCUCUGCGUUCUGAGGAAGGAAGACCUGAGAGAUGGUGAUGGGGUCCUAAAGACAUUGUCUGAGUGCUGGACCAUCAAGUAAUUUAACUGAACUAACAUCUCUAUAACAUUAAGUGAACCUAAGAUGCCUGGGUGGCUAGUCAGUUAAGCAUCUAACUUUGGCUCAGAUUCAUGAUCUCACUG